rnacentral:rRNA from 1 species
AUUGAACGCUGGCGGCAGGCCUAACACAUGCAAGUCGAGCGGGGUUUUCGGACCUAGCGGCGGACGGGUGAGUAAUGCGUAGGAAGCUACCCGAUAGAGGGGGAUACCAGUUGGAAACGACUGUUAAUACCGCAUAAUGUCUACGGACCAAAGUGUGGGACCUUCGGGCCACAUGCUAUCGGAUGUGCCUACGUGGGAUUAGCUAGUUGGUGAGGUAAUUGCUCACCAAGGCGACGGUCCCUAGCUGGUUUGAGAGGAUGAUCAGACACGCUGGAACUGGGACACGGUCCAGACUCCUACGGGAGGCAGCAGUGGGGAAUAUUGGACAAUGGGCGCAAGCCUGAUCCGGCCAUGCCGCGUGUGUGAAGAAGGCCUUCGGGUUGUAAAGCACUUUCAGUAAGGAGGAAGCGUUGAGUGUUAAUAGUACUCAGCGUUGACGUUACUUACAGAAGAAGCACCGGCUAACUCUGUGCCAGCCGCCGCCGUAACAC